ensembl:lncRNA
GUUCACUUAGCUGCCUCUUAAUACACAGAUAUCUGGUCUGUGAGCUCGCAUUAGGCAUUCCUUGCAUGCAUACUGAAUAUGUGCAGAAAUGUGCUCAUGCAGGCUUUGAUGUCUGCAGUAUGUAACAUCAUCUGUUCUCCGAUAAAAUUGUCCUCUGAGCUCAGGACCGCAUUUGGGGAUCCUUCUGCCUGCAGUUCUGACUUUGUGCAACAUCUGGGGAGUUUAACAUGUGCUCAGGAGGGCAGCAUGCUAUUAAUUGGACAUUAAGUGGUGGGCCAUGUCUGAGGCCAUUGCACGUUGUAUUAAUUACGGAGUGGCUAAUAACAACCUUCUGCCCCUGGUAUUUAUAGAAUAAUAAAAUCUGUCCCUGACACUGGCCUCACAUCUGGCAAAACUGGCAAACACAUUUUCAUUUACCUCCCUUUCUCAAGCGUGUUAAUAGCUUUCAGAUUUCCAGAGGAACAACUGGAGAUCUUAGAGCAAUACAGACUCAGUGCUAAUGGCUUCAGACUGAAGGCAGAGCUAAGAUUUUCACUUCAAACAGGGCUGGAUCCCCUAUUCCUCCCCUUGCCCUGUGUGACAUGGUGGAUAUGGGCAUGUUGUGCUGGAUGAGAUACUUACAAACACUGCAGUCCUGUUUUGGAAACAUUCCCCUGUGCUAUUACAUCAAAUACAAGCAAGCAUGGCUGUAACCAUUGGUAUUUCCAACCAGUGGGUUUCUGUGGGCUCUGGGACUGCAUCCCUGAGCUGCUGGGUGAUGGGAAAGUUCUGGAGAGCCUGUGAUGACGAGGAGGCAGGGGCUGACACAGAACUGCAGUGGGUGCAGCUGCUGAAGAGCAUGGCUGGAGUGUAGCAACACGAAGACAGGAGUAGAAGAAAAUAAGGGCUCAAAAACAAUGGGGUCAGCUCAGUUUGGAGGGAGCAGACGAAGACAACACUUGCUUUAAUGCGCAGAAUUAUAUCAUCGGCAGCCAGAGGUCACAUCCUGCUGUCUUUUAAAAGAUAACUGCAGCCCCUCUCUGUUUCCCUGCUCCCUUAUAAACCUGGCUCGACCCAUACCCCGUAGCAGCAAGAGCGCACAGCCCAACAUCUUGGAUUAGUUAUGAGUGUCUCAGAUGCGCUCCAACUCAUAUUUCAUAUCAUUCCCCCAGCCAUAAGAUUUGAGUUUGUCACAUUUACUGGAGACUAAAGCACAAACAUGUUUUAUUCAUUAUCUGUCCUCGUCUCCGCAACAAGCACCUGCAAAACAUUUUGGCUCUCGACCGGAGCAACAAGGUUUCAUUAGACAUGACACUUUCUCCCUGGCUUGGAUGACGAAGCUACAUUUUAUCCCUCCACUUCCAGGCUGUGAAAUUGCCUGGAGAUCAUCACCUUGUACGAACGUGGACUCCGGAGACCUCUUGGCUGAAGUGGGAAAAAGGGAUCGAGGUGAUUACGUAGACCUGAUCUCUGCGAUCAGAGGGGUUUGGGGCAGCACUGAGCUGCUUUAGCCUUACAACAUCCAAAAGAAAGCCCAAUUCUGCAUCGUCAACAGGGAAAAAUGCCACGUGGAGGAGCAGAACUGUUGCAUGUUGUCAUACAGGGGAUUUGCAGGAUGUUUGGAGUGGAGAGCCCUUGUUAUUUUGAUUUUAGCCAGCAGCCGAUAUGGGAGCAGUGGUUCAAAGCUCCUCACCGACUCCUCUCUCCUGGCCAAUGAAUAUGGAUUGGAUGCAAAACAGAAGGGCUCACCGGGAGAGGGAGAGAAGCUGUUUGCCUUGCAAAAUUCAUCAGCCCGGUGCUCAGAUGAACGCUGGAAAUGAAGAAGUGAAAUUCAUGUCCCUCCUCUGAGCUCAGCCCAACAGAGCAGAGCACACGCUCUGGACCACGAGCAUCACCCCUUGCACUCCAGCUAUUAAUUUCCUCACAUCUGUUCUGCCAGCCUUCCCUGGGAUGGAGGGGCUGCCAGGAGAAGCCAAGCCACUGAGUUUUAUUCCUUUACAUGGAUCACAUUUAACGCUGCGUUGCUCUCUGCUUGCUGCCCUGCACAUAUGCUCCCCAGGAGGCAUUGUUAUGGUGCUUUCCCUUUAAUUAUCUUCACAAACGUACAAUUUUUCUCUCUUCACCUUCUCUCUUUCAUUUCCAAAGUCUUUAAUCACUUGUUUUCUUCUCGUUUCUUCUUGAUUUUUCUGACAUAUGCAAUAAAAACACCAGUAAAAUAUUCAUGAAGAAGCACUGAUCUCAGGUCUUUGAGAUCUCGCCGAUGGGAUGCGUAUGGCUGUGUAAUUAAAAGAUACUGUCAAUAAAGCAAGAUAUUGUGACACGCUAAUGGCACAGUGCCAUUUGAGGGAGGCCGGGGAGAUGCCAAAUCUGAUUCUGCAGUUAGUGUUCCAGCAGUUAAAGCCAUCAACCCAAGAAGGAAGCAGAGACAUCCCUACGCAAUGUCAGUUUGCGGCACAUAUUUAUUCAGUGCUAAAUACAGAAGCGACCUUUGAAUUAUUAAUAUAUCUCUUUGGAGGGUAAAAGCAUGAUGCAUUCCUUUGUGCCAUGCUUGAAGGGCAUGGUCAGUGGGUGUAGUGGCAAUGCUGAGUCAUGGCCUGCAGCAGUGAUGGAGCACCUGGGGGGAAGGCAGGGCCAGCCCAGGGCAGCUCAGGUGCAUGCAAUGUGCUGAGUGAUGGAAGGGCUGCAGCCAGGAUCCACCCCUUCCCAGUCCUCAUUUAAGGGUUGGCAGUGGAGGUGAGAGGUUCUUGCUGGAGGUCCCUGUGUACCUGAGGCCUUCUGAAGGGGAAAAUCUCUCACCUCCAAACUCCAACUCAAUGCAACAGAGAAGAGUCUGCAGCACUGGGGCUAACUCCUUCUCUCAGGGCUUUGCCCAGGAGCCUCAUGGGCUGGUGGUACCCAGACAGCCUCAAAGCAGCCAUGGGCUGCUGACCCGAGCAGCUGGGUGCCCAUGAAGAUGCACUGUUUGCUGGGUGGGCUUCUGGAGAGAGCAGGAUGCUGCGCUUCCCUGCUUUGUGCUCAUCACUGUGGCCCCACAAAUCAGCACAGCCGGAGGCCAGGGAAGAUUUCUUUGAUUGCCUUUUACUUCACUCCAUUGCAUUUCUUACUCAGUUUUCUUGGCUGGAUAUAAAGCCUGGUGCUGGUGGGGUGUAUUGCCAGCAGGGAGCAAGGGGAGCUUGCAACCAGCAGGCAGCAUUGCAAUGCAGCAAGUGGCAGAAACUGAAAUGUGCUUCCGCAAGGACCACACUGAGGAAGAAGAGGGAGAAACUCAGCAAACUUUCGGGGUUAACAUCAGAUCCCACCCUCUUUUGGCUUGUGGGAGAGGGUUGUACGUGCAGGCUGCUGCCAGAAGGCAUCAGAGGUUGGUGCUACAUUUCUCUGGGGCAAUAGGUUAUGAAAUCACCCCAAAAUGGUGAUUCCCAUCAUUCUCCUAGGAGGUGAGCAGGAUGAAAUCCUCCCUCUGCUCUCUUGCUGAUGGGCUAAAGCCAUGCUGGACUUAUUACAGGGCAGGAAGGUGGGGGGGGGCGGGGAAGGGGGGGGGGGGGAGGGAAGGGAAUAAUAUGGCAUUCUGACACCUUUCCCCCCUCCUCCUUGCAUCCUGUGAGAAGGAGAUUUUUGCCUCUUACGGUGCUGAUGACUUCUACCUGCCCAUGGGAGGAGGGCCCUGGGCUUUGGGGACAGGAGGGGGCCCAGCUGAGGGUGGGCUUGGAAGAUGUAUGAGGAAGGAGAUGCAUCAGUUUGACUAAAGCUGAGCAAAUCCCCUCUUUCCCAGCGCUGACAGAGGGGUGGUGUAUGUUUCACUUCUUUUUUUUACUUUUUAAAAGCAAAAUGUAGGAGGAAAGUGGCGUUCCUGGAGAGAUACGUUCAUAUUUCAUCUUAUUUUGGCAGGGGGAUGGGAAGGAGCUGCAGAUGGGUGCAGUGGCAGCGCACCUCUUACAGCACAGAGCAGCCCCAGACCUCACUGCCAUGGCCAGCAGCAACAAAAGACACCACUGAUAUUUUCAUAAUCCUUUCCCCCACCUCCUCUUUUAUCCCAGAGCUGAAAAAAACAGCAACAGAAAGAUGCUUUACUGUGCAGGGUAAACCCUGAGCCACAGAACUGUGGGGUCAUGGGUGGGAGAGCUCACCCCUCUCCUGCGUAGCCUCAAAUGGGAUUCUUUUUAAUAAUGGUUUGGUAAUGGGAGUGUUCCUAUUUGCAUGCUGCAGCACAUUGAGGUUUUCCAAAGGAGAUGCAGAGAGGGGGUCUCAGUUGUGCUCAUAAAGUCUGGGAAGUCAGAAAAUUCAGAUUUGACCUCAGGGAAAUGAGGAAGAGGUGGAAUCCAUUAAGAAGUCGUGGCCAAAUCACUGCACUGAGUUUAAAAGUUGUGUUCAAUCAGUUGGUGGUGGUGGCUUUGGGAAAGGGCUGGAAGUCAGUUUUUGGUGUUAAUGGUUUUUCUUUCCCAGAGGCAAUCUGAUCUGAUGUUCUGUUUGUCCCACAGCACAGUGCAGCCCGGCAGCUUCACUCGGGCUGCAAGAGAGUUGGAGGUCUUCAGCCAGGCACCUCUGGUUUGCUCAGAGGACUGCCUGAUACCCACUGCCAGUUGCAUGGGGGUGAAGGAGGUUUGUGUGUAGAAUGUCUGACACCGAUACAGGUGAGGAGGGAAGCAGUGCCUGGAGGUGCUGAGGUUGGUGAAGACUCUGCAGGAGGGGAGCAGCGCCGGGAGCGGAGCCCUCCCUGCAUCACCUGCACGUUCUCAUCUCGAGAUCCGCGGGGAACGCGAAGAAGCCGCCUUAGGAUGCGGGCAAAGCGUUGGGCAUCGGGAUCUGCUCCGGGCAUCCCCAGGAAGGGGCGGGAGGAGCUGUGUGUGCAUUCCAAGGGCUGCACUGCCACCUCCAGGUCUGCACAGCCCCACACAGCUGCGGCUCCGGCGCCGUCCCCGUUCAGCGCUGCAGAGGGGUUGGAGAGAGGAGCGCUCAACUAUUUGCGAUGAUUUCUUUUUUUCUUUCCUUUUUAAUUGUAGAUGAAAGACCGCACGAUGUCUCUUUCCGUAUGAAUUUCUCAUUGCAGAAUGACGGCGCAUCGAUGUGAGAAACCGGGCGUUUCUAUGAGAUGACGGCAUUGUUUUUUUUCUGCCCUGCCAGAACAGUGCUGUCCUCCUCCUGCAUGGCCAUCUCCUCGCCUAUGAGCAUCGCAUUGCUGCGGGGCAGCUGCGUGCGGGGUUGCGUUGGCCCCGCGCACCGGGAGGUGGCACUGCAGCCGCAGCUUUGCGUGCCUAUGCACAGGUAAAGUGUGUUUUACUGGGAAAACAGUGGGAAGGAGCAAAACGUGGGAGCGUGGAGCAAGGAGGGUUUCCCUGGCACUUCAUCCUCCACACUCAAGGAAAAACCAACCUCGGGAGCAUCCCUGUAGUAUCCUUGAGACUGAAGAAGACCACUGAGACCAUGAAGUGCAACCAUCAGCCCAUCAAAGCCCUAUGCCAGCCCCAGAGCACAGGUUUUCCACCUUUGUGAUGCCCUGGGAAAAGUUCUAAGCAAGCAUUUUCCUCCCCAAGUUCUACUCUGCAAAGUGUGCUCCUCAAGCAAAGCACAGAGAGAAGGGUGAGUGUGUGGGCCUUCUGCCUUCCCAAAGCAUUCCAACUUGGCACAAUUUGCAGAAAACCUUUUAGGUUGUGCCUCUGCCUUCACAGAAUCAUGGAUUCAUUAGGACUGGGAAAGACCACUCAUUCUUAGCCCUGCCCAUGUCCUCAGUGCCAUAUCCCCAUGGCUCCAGAUGACCCUCUCACUCCCUGGGCAGCCCAUUCCAUCUUUCUUGCUUUGCCUGAUGCUAGCAGAUGGUGAAGGAUGUGCCAUGCCUCCAGUGUUGCUGCAUCUUAAAAGCAAAUCUGGGUUCUCACCAUGCAGAUCCACCCAGAAGCUGUGAUAAGACUUCCUAAGAGGUCAGGAUGUGCUCAGAUGUGUCUGGGGGUAUUUUAGUGUUUUACCAACAUACCAGGGAGAUGGAUACUCAUUCUCAUCCAUGUCCUGAUCUUAGGUUAUGGGUGCGUUCUACUGGCCUAAAUGGGAUAAAUAAGUAGAAAUGGACCAGGCUGAUGCUAUUGGUGAAAGUGCUGAUGUCUCCUGGAACAGCUCAGCAGUGGUUUUGAAGGCGUUGACAAAUGACACCCAGAAGUGUAGAAAAGAAGAAAACAAACAACGCAACCCCUUUUCUGCAGCUCCCCUGGGAGGAGUGCAAAAGUUGGGAGAUGCAUCAAAUUUCCAUCUCGUAUCAUUCUAACUGUUCUGGGUAAUGGGCCACAAGUCACCACUGACUUAAUGUCAAUCUCAGGGUGAAAUAUCCAGGCAAUGAGACAUGAUGGAGGAGGCUGGUGAGCCAUCACUGCACCUAUGGGCUGUCACGUUGCCAUUGAGUGCCCGCCAGCUUUUGUUGAAUGGAUGAAACUCAUCCACUUUGGCAAGCAUCCUUAAAGUAGGAUAGAACUAGGAGGGCCUGUUGGAUGCAGGAGAAAGGACCCAAGGAGAUGGGGAGCUGUCAUAGAUUCCAUUACAAAAUGGUGUGGAGAUGCCUCUGAAUCUUGGUCAUCCCCAACCUCAACCAUCCUCAAUCUCAAUCCUCAACAUUUCCAAGCAGGAAAGAAGAGCAGGAAAACUCAG